AGGCUUUGAUCCUGGCUCAGGAUGAACGCUGGCGGCGUGCUUAACACAUGCAAGUCGAACGAACCUUCGGGUUAGUGGCGGACGGGUGAGUAACGCGUGAGAAUCUGCCCUCAGGAGGGGGAUAACGGCUGGAAACGGCCGCUAAUACCCCAUAUGCCGAGAGGUGAAACGAGUUUUCGCCUGAGGAUGAGCUCGCGUCUGAUUAGCUAGUUGGUGGGGUAAGAGCUUACCAAGGCAUCGAUCAGUAGCUGGUCUGAGAGGAUGAUCAGCCACACUGGGACUGAGACACGGCCCAGACUCUACGGGAGGCAGCAGUGGGGAAUUUUCCGCAAUGGGCGAAAGCCUGACGGAGCAACGCCGCGUGAGGGACGAAGGCCUCUGGGCUGUAAACCUCUUUUCUCAAGGAAGAAGAUCUGACGGUACUUGAGGAAUAAGCCACGGCUAAUCCGUGC
rnacentral:rRNA from 1 species